GGGGAAUAUUGGACAAUGGGCGCAGGCCUGAUCCAGCAAUGCCGCGUGUGUGAAGAAGGCCUGCGGGUUGUAAAGCACUUUUGUUCGGGAAGAAAUCAUGCCGACUAAUACUUGGUAUGGAUGACGGUACCGGAAGAAUAAGCACCGGCUAACUUCGUGCCAGCAGCCGCGGUAAUACGAAGGGUGCAAGCGUUAAUCGGAAUUACUGGGCGUAAGGGUGCGUAGGCGGCUUUUUAAGUCGGAUGUGAAAUCCCCGGGCUUAACCUGGGAAUGGCAUACGAUACUGGGGAGCUAGAGUUUGGGAGAGGGUGGUGGAAUUCCCGGUGUAGCGGUGAAAUGCGUAGAGAUCGGGAGGAACAUCAGUGGCGAAGGCGGCCACCUGGCCUAAAACUGACGCUGAGGCACGAAAGCGUGGGGAGCAAAC
rnacentral:rRNA from 1 species